rnacentral:lncRNA from 1 species
CUAUAUUUAUUCUCCCAUGUGCAAUUUAAAAAUGCACACAGACUAGACAGGUAAGCACAACCAUGACAAAUUACCACAAAUACUUCACAAGAUUAUUCAUGACGAGUACAUAUGAAAUUCACAUUUCUCUAUAUUCUGUAUCUAAGUUCUGUAUAAAACUACUGCAGCUGCACUUGCAUGCCAGAAUCAUUUAUGUCCCCUGCUGUCCAGUUCUGCGGUACUCCCUCCGUUCCACAAUGUAGUGCGCCCGCGCUUCCCGAGGUCUAAGUUUGACCAUAAAUUUAACCAACGAGACCGACUGCGGCGGGAGCAAAAAUCAUACCACUGAAUUCGUAUUUUUGCUCCCACUGCAGUUGGUCUCGUUGGUUAAAUUUAUGGUCAAACUUAGAUCUCGGAAAGCGUGAGCGCUCUACAUUGUGGAAUGGAGGGAGUAUUAUGUUUGUCAGAACUAGCCAUUUCUGGUCACCACUGCGGGAAGCUCUGCUGCUAAACAGCAUCCUUAUGGACAGGGGGCCAGUUGGCAUGUCUGGUUCACAGUCUGCAUCCAGCCAUCAACAGGUAUUUAGUACUGUGAAUUUUAUGCACAUGGAAAGCUUUCUGUAUAAUUUGGUGUAAAUAAUUCUAUGCAUGAUUUACACAGUUUAAUUAGUGUUUACGUCACAAGGAUGGACUGUGAUGAUGUCCUUGCUGCCUUGUUGAACUGUGAUCUCAAAUUCUAGUUAGUAGGGCAAAUUGCUGCCUUCAGUAAUCUUGAAGACAAUGUUCUUAUCUUGGUAGCUACAAGAAACCCUGUAGCAGAGAGAUAACAACGAAGCUGCAACAUGUCAGUUUUGUUGUUAACUCAUUUUUCAAGAUCAGAACUAGCGUACUUUCCAGUUUUGCCUCUUUUUUUUCCUUUUGCCAUCUGAUGAAAGCAACCAAGUGUCGUGCAUGCAAUAAUUUUAGGCAGGUUUCUUGUAUUCACACACCUCCUGUAUUCAGUUCAACACGACCAAGGGCAAGCAGCGCUUCACCACCAUCCGCACUCUGAGCCAUAGGCUGAGGAUGAAAUUAGAGCCGUCACUCCACCCAGAGUGAGUGAUUACGAUUGUCACACCAUUUGCACAGCAGUAAGUAUCUGUGCACCUCACCUGUUGGAUAUUGGCAUUCGUACCCGGAACAGAAAAAUGGUGUUAUGAUUUACGCAACCUGGGGCACCACCACAGAUGGAUCCGAUAGCAUGCGUUGGCACGUUGCAGCCUACCCCAUUCCUGUAGAGGCUUGCCGAUGCAGAAACAUUGAAGUUGUUAAGUGUUGCCUGAAAUGUGCCACUCACAUGCUCCAUCUGAAAGUAUUUGUCAGAAACAAGUAGUAGUAUUUCUUUUUUGACAACAUGUGACCUCCAAAUUUUAGCAGCAUAUCUCAUAUGCAAUACUUACUUUCGAUCCCUUUUGUAUCAGAAUUGGGGUAAUAUGCCGCUUCUGACACGGUGAAGUUUGUGUCUACAAACACCAUGGAGAGGAAAGGCAGCUGAAAAAACAUAGAUGUGAGAUGACAAUGAAGUGGAAGAGCCAUUUGUGGUAUGGGGAUGCAGCAACAAGUUUUGGAAAUGGUGCAUGCAAGAGGAAGAUGGAACCAUGUAUAUUUAUAGCCGCUGUGGGUUUCUCAUGAGUCAAGAUUUGGAAACCUUUGCCCUUCGGUUUUGAAUGGCUGAGACAUGGGAUUGGAGACAUUUUUCUCUCUGGUGUAUGUGUACCUGCAACUUCUUGUUCAUCCUAUGCUGCAUAAGCUAUAGUUCAUGUAAAAGAGUAUUUUGGCCUUUUGCACCUCUUUGUACUAUAUACUUAUCCGGCCUGUUUGAAGAUAUUGUUCUGUGGACUGGUGGAUUGGCAUGUCUGAUGACUCUUUCCCAAAUAGAAAGGCCAUGGCCUCGCUCACAAUGCUCGCAUCGUGGACAAUAUGGAAUGAAAGGAACGUAAGUAGCACCCCACCGAUG